GAUGAACGCUAGCUACAGGCUUAACACAUGCAAGUCGAGGGGUAACAAGAGAAAAGCUUGCUUUUCUUGUUGACGACCGGCGCACGGGUGAGUAACGCGUAUCCAACCUGCCUAUAACUAGGGAAUAACCUUGCGAAAGUAAGACUAAUACCCUAUGAUUUCCUUUGAUGACAUCAGAUUAGGAAUAAAGAUUUAUCGGUUAUAGAUGGGGAUGCGUCUGAUUAGCUUGUUGGCGGGGUAACGGCCCACCAAGGCAACGAUCAGUAAGGGUUCUGAGAGGAAGGUCCCCCACAUUGGAACUGAGACACGGUCCAAACUCCUGCGGGAGGCAGCAGUGAGGAAUAUUGGUCAAUGGGCGGAAGCCUGAACCAGCCAAGUAGCGUGCAGGAUGACGGCCCUAUGGGUUGUAAACUGCUUUUAUACAGGAAUAAAGUUAGCCACGUGUGGUUAUUUGUAGGUACUGUAUGAAUAAGGACCGGCUAAUUCCGUGCCAGCAGCCGCCGUAA
rnacentral:rRNA from 1 species